rnacentral:rRNA from 1 species
UACGGAGGGUGCGAGCGUUAUCCGGAUUCACUGGGUUUAAAGGGUGCGUAGGCGGGUUUGUAAGUCAGUGGUGAAAUCUCCAGGCUUAACCUGGAAACUGCCAUUGAUACUAUAGAUCUUGAAUUUUCUGGAGGUAAGCGGAAUAUGUCAUGUAGCGGUGAAAUGCUUAGAUAUGACAUAGAACACCAAUUGCGAAGGCAGCUGGCUACACAAAUAUUGACACUGAGGCACGAAAGCGUGGGGAUCAAACAGG